rnacentral:tRNA from 1 species
GCACCCGUAGCUCAGCUGGAUAGAGCGUCUGACUACGGAUCAGAAGGCCAGGGGUUCGAAUCCUCUCGGGUGCACCA